UUGAGGACUUUGAAACCAUACUUUUAUUUCAAAACUCAAGUAUGUGAUACUAUACAGUACAAUACCAGCACACUUGUGCAAAAUCUUACAAUAUUACAAAUUUAAAUAUGAUACACAAAAAUAGUGCCCUUUUAAAAUUCCUUUUACUAGAAACAUCUGUGCUGUGCAGGAAGAACAAUAAACGUGUCUUGUUAAAGCAGAAAAAUAAAUAUUGCACCUCAAGAAAACUAUUUCAGUGUUAACAGCAUAAAUAAUAGAUCUAUUUCUUGUUAUCUGAUGUGAUCUUUCAACACAGAAGAGAUUGGGGUUUUUUUUCCAGAUAAAGCAAACUAAUAUCCAACAGAUAAAAUUACAUUUAGAAUAGUUUUUGAGCUCAGUCUAGUUUCUUAUUAAAAAAGGUGUCUUCAUUAACUAACUGAAAAAUAUAAGCAAAAGUAUUUAAUGUGCUGUUAGUCAUUGUGGUUCAUUAUUACUAGUGGACAGUUUGCUCAAAGUAGUUAUAAAAAGAACAACUUUUUUUUUUUUAAAUAAACCUUAUCUUCAUCUUUUCAUCCCUAUUAAAAUCCCUUGACUUUUUCAGUGCAUUCCCCACAAUAACUAAAAACUGUGGAUAAAUUAUACUUGCCUUAGACAUGCAAGUAGUUCAGUUCAAAUCAGUACAACUACUUACAGAAAUCUGCCCUUGUGCAUUAAGUCCACAAAAAGUCAGUGUGCUGAAUUUCAAGACAGGAUGGAGACCUUAUUCACCCACUGACCAAAAAACCCUUAGCCCACGCUUAACAUGAAGCAGUUCAAGUGUCCUGUUGAUAUCAAUAACUUUCUAAAUUUCCUUACAAUAAUGUGUUGGACCCACAUCAAUGGAGAUGUAAAUCAGAGCAAAUUAAUUUAAUUAUAGGCACUGUUAAUUAUUUUUACUCAUUACCGUCCAACAUUUCCACAAUCACAUAAUCAAAUUUGUGCCAUAAUUUUUGGCACAGGGGACUCUGAAUCUUCAGGACUAUUUACGUUCAAUUUUUAUUGCCUUACUAUCAAUGCUAUUUGUAAAGACUAUCAAGUUAAAGAAGCUGAUUUUAAUAAAGAAGUAUUCAAAGAGCAACUGACAAGUUUCUUUAAAUACUGAAAGUAUGUGAAAUGUCACAGUAGUUCUUCAUAGUCAGGUAUUCUAACUGAACCAAACAGAUACCAAGUAAUUUACAAGAAACCUUCUUCUUAUUCUUUACCAAUUAUAGUUUUAGACCAAAUGACACUUGCCCAUUAUCCUUUUUGAACUUUCUUAAGCACACUCCUCAACAAUAUGUACUUUAAAAUAAAAAACAAACCUCCCAACUGCUUAUAGAGCUCACCCUUCCCCACCCCCAAAAAAAAAAAAAAAAAAAAAGUGGUGGUGGCUGCUUUGCUUUUUUUUUUAACUUCUUACUAAUUUUUCUUUUCUUUCUCCAUAUAAAUGUCUCUUAAUAAAUAUGGCUAAAGAUAUAAAGAAUGAAAUUCAUCAGCAGGAUAUUUGUUACUAGUGCCAGAUAUGUGAGUUAAAUUUCUGAGUUAGAAACCUGUUUUCUUUGAUAACUUGAGGUUCAGUGUUUACACCAACAGACAAUACUAACUGCAUCUGAACUGAAAUAACAGUACUUCAUAACACACUUAUCCUUCAGUUGUAAACAGACUUCUUAAUUAGUCAGAAAAUGGCAGAAGAAUGCAAGACACAAGUGCAAUCAGGUAUCAAACUGAUUUUGAUAUUGUGGUUACAUUCAAGCAUACAGUUAUGGAAAGACAAACAUAGUUCAUCUUCAAUCAGAAGUGACCAAUGUUCAGCAGGUACAUAUGGUAUACCUUUAGUGACAUGCAUUUUGGUCUCAGCCCUUUCAUAUAUUGAUUUGACAGUAUCAGCUGUGCCACCUAGACACAUUUUGUUGUGUAUCCCAUUUUAAAAAAAA
rnacentral:lncRNA from 1 species